rnacentral:rRNA from 1 species
UGAGGAAUAUUGCACAAUGGAGGAAACUCUGAUGCAGCAACGCCGCGUGGAGGAUGACGCAUUUCGGUGUGUAAACUCCUUUUAAGAGGGAAGAUAAUGACGGUACCUCUCGAAUAAGCACCGGCUAACUCCGUGCCAGCAGCCGCGGUAAUACGGAGGGUGCAAGCGUUACUCGGAAUCACUGGGCGUAAAGGGUGCGUAGGCUGGCUUCUAAGUCAGAUGUGAAAUCCAAUGGCUUAACCAUUGAACUGCAUUUGAAACUGGAAGCCUAGAGUUCAGAAGGGGCAGAUGGAAUUAGUGGUGUAGGGGUAAAAUCCGUAGAUAUCACUAGGAAUAUCAAAAGCGAAGGCGAUCUGCUGGGAUGAUACUGACGCUGAGGCGCGAAAGCGUGGGGAGCAAACAG